GACGAACGCUGGCGGCGUGCUUAACACAUACAAGUCGAACGGAAAGACACUGCUUUUGUGCUCUGCUGGAGUGGCGAACGGGUAAGGAACACGUGAAUAACCUACCCUUGACUUUCGGAUAACGUCAGGAAGCUAGGCCUAAUACCAGAUAGGAGCUCCCGCUGCAUGGUGGGGAUUGGAACGUUUCGGCGGUUGGGGAUGGAUUGGCGGCUUAUCAGCUUGCUGGUGGGUUAGUGGCUGACCAAGGCAGUGACCGGUCGGCCGCCGGAGAGGGUGGCCGGCGACAUUGGGACUGAGAUACGGCACAGACGCGAACGGGAGGCAACGGGGGGGAAGCUGGCACAAUGGGAGGGAGUCGGAUGCAGCAACGCCACGUGUGGGAAGACGGCUUGCUGGUAGAAAACAGCAGUCGGCUGAGACGAAGCGUGAGUGACGGUAACGGAUAAAUAAGCACCGGCUAACUACGUG
rnacentral:rRNA from 1 species